UACGGAGGGUGCAAACGUUGCUCGGAAUCAUUGGGCGUAAAGCGAACGUAGGCGGCUUUGUAAGUCGGGUGUGAAAGCCCUCGGCUCAACCGAGGAAGUGCAUUCGAAACUGCAUGGCUAGAGUAUCGGAGAGGAUAGCGGAAUUCCCGGUGUAGAGGUGAAAUUCGUAGAUAUCUGGAGGAACACCGGUGGCGAAGGCGGCAUCCUGGACCAACACUGACACUGAGGAGCGAAAGCCAGGGGAGCAAACGGG
rnacentral:rRNA from 1 species